rnacentral:rRNA from 1 species
AGAUUGAACGCUGGCGGCAGGCCUAACACAUGCAAGUCGAACGGUAACAGGAAGCAGCUUGCUGCUUCGCUGACGAGUGGCGGACGGGUGAGUAAUGUCUGGGAAACUGCCUGAUGGAGGGGGAUAACUACUGGAAACGGUAGCUAAUACCGCAUAACGUCGCAAGACCAAAGAGGGGGACCUUCGGGCCUCUUGCCAUCAGAUGUGCCCAGAUGGGAUUAGCUUGUUGGUGGGGUAACGGCUCACCAAGGCGACGAUCCCUAGCUGGUCUGAGAGGAUGACCAGCCACACUGGAACUGAGACACGGUCCAGACUCCUACGGGAGGCAGCAGUGGGGAAUAUUGCACAAUGGGCGCAAGCCUGAUGCAGCCAUGCCGCGUGUAUGAAGAAGGCCUUCGGGUUGUAAAGUACUUUCAGCGGGGAGGAAGGUGUUGUGGUUAAUAACCGCAGCAAUUGACGUUACCCGCAGAAGAAGCACCGGCUAACUCCGUGCCAGCAGCCGCGGUAAUACGGAGGGUGCAAGCGUUAAUCG